rnacentral:rRNA from 1 species
GACGAACGCUGGCGGCGUGCCUAAUACAUGCAAGUCGAGCGGAUCUUCAUUAGCUUGCUUUUGAAGAUCAGCGGCGGACGGGUGAGUAACACGUGGGCAACCUGCCUGUAAGACUGGGAUAACUUCGGGAAACCGGAGCUAAUACCGGAUAAUCCUUUUCCUCUCAUGAGGAAAAGCUGAAGCACGGUUGCGGCUGUCACUUACAGAUGGGCCCGCGGCGCAUUAGCUAGUUGGUGAGGGAACGGCUCACCAAGGCGACGAUGCGUAGCCGACCUGAGAGGGUGAUCGGCCACACUGGGACUGAGACACGGCCCAGACUCCUACGGUAGGCAGCAGUAGGGAAUCUUCCGCAAUGGACGAAAGUCUGACGGAGCAACGCCGCGUGAGCGAUGAAGGCCUUCGGGUCGUAAAGCUCUGUUGUCAGGGAAGAACAAGUAUCGGAGUAACUGCCGGUACCUUGACGGUACCUGACCAGAAAGCCACGGCUAACUACGUGCCAGCCGCCGCGGUAAUAC